rnacentral:tRNA from 1 species
GGCACUAUAGCCAAGUGGUUACGGCGAUAGAUUCGAAUGUAUGUUCAUCUAUUACUCUCUGAGUGCGCAGGUUCAAAUCCUGCUGGUGUCG